rnacentral:misc_RNA from 1 species
GAGAUGAAUAAAAUUAACUUAGCCAAGCAAAUCUCUUAAACGGCUCUUUCACCUACCAUUGAAGCUGCUUUAACGUUACAAUUUGGGAGAGAACUUGGUUUAAAUUUUGAAGGUGAAGAAAGAGCUUUGGUUGGCAAUUUUGAGGAUAAUAUUUCUAAGGAUCUUGCUCUUUCAGCAAUCAUUCUUGAGGGCGUUUUCUAGGCCACAACCAGGAGGGCUAGGGCAUUUUCCUUGGCUGUGAUCCUUUAUCAUGUCUUCUAUCUUAUCUUGGAAUUGCAGAGGUUUAGGUGGUUCAAGUAAGAAGUCACAACUAAAGUCUCUAUUUUUCAAGCACAAAGUUGGUAUUACUGCUGCUUUAGAGAUAAAAAGCAACUUUCUAUCCUUUGUUAAUAUUCGGAGAGCUUGGGGUAUGGGCAACUGGUACUGGUCAAUUGUGUAUGCAGAUAGCCAUUUGGGUGGCUUGCUGCUUGUCUGGAACAAAGACUUUGUUCUGGUCACUCAUCACUGCAUUUUUGGUUGGUGUAUUUUACUCUUUGGCAUUCUUGUACCUUGUAAUUUUGAAGUAUCCAUGGGUUUUGCCUAUGCCCCAUGUGAUUACCAUAAGCAGAAGAUUUUAUGAAAGGAGAUUCUUGAUGAAUUAAGGCUCAAUUCGGGUCCUAUUUUAUUGAUUGUUGACCAAACCUUGAGAAGUUCGGAUAGGAAGAGUGGGAUUGGUUCGUCAACUGGGAUGUCUGAUUUUCAAUCAUUGGUUAGUGAUCUCAAUCUUACAGAGGUACUUCCAAGCGGCAAGAGAUUCGUGAUACUGAGUUUAUUGCUUUCUUUUAUUUUCUUUGGGUUGGUAGUGUUACUUGUUUUUUGUUUGUAUUGGUUUUGUUCGUCUCUGGGUAUUGUUGUUUGUCUUUGUAGUUUGUUCUGUCAUUUGUUCUACUUCUUACACGGACUGUUUUGCUGAAUUUGUGGUCUCGGUGUUGUGCUUUUUGGCUUCCACUUUGUUGUUUGUGCCUUUUAGGUGUGGGUGUAAGGGAUAUGCCUAUUGGCAUGGAUUUGGCAUCCAGGCCUCAGCUUAGUGCAUUUUAAUGUUUUAUUUCUAAUUAUCAAUAAAACUUGCUUAUCUCAUAAGAAAAAAAACUGAGAUCUAUAACAAAAUUUAUUUAGAAUUGAUCCAUCACCAAUUAAUAUAUAAAC